UGUACAGAGUGAGUCUCUAGGAGGUGAGCAAUAUCUGAGGGGUACGUACGCAGCCAGUCACAUCCUACAUGGGAAGGUCCUGAUCCCAUGAGAGAACUGACAGUCUGUGGAAGGAUAAACCUCUGGAACCUUCUGUGAAAUAACUAACAAAGCUCAGGAGAAUGUGAGCUAAGCGAGAGGAGGAGAAAUAACUUGCAAAGGAUCCUGCAUCUCCGUCUGAGGCAUCUGGUACUGCUCACUGGCAGAGAGAAGAUAUUGGCCUGGAUGGAUCUCUGCUCUGAUCCACUAUGGAUUGUAAACUCUUGUGCCGGAGGUCCAUCUUUUUACGUAUGAGAUGCCACUGUCCCCAAGGGUGAGAACCAUCUCCUGUCCUUCUCCAUUUCAUCAAAAUAUUUACAUAUCUAAGAGGCCAUCAAUCUCAUCUCUCGCCAUUCGAUUGUUACCUGGUAAGAACAGAUGCACUGGAAUUCCACAGAGAAAGAUACACCCAUGUUGACAACUUCAGAGGCUAAGUCACAGUGUCCGAAUCCAUCUUAAUCCACAGGCGGAUCACACACCCUCAGGGCCUUGCAGCAUGUACAAAUAUUUGUAAGAAAUCACCAAGGCUCAGAUGGGAGUUAUGACUUUUUUCCAUUUUCAUACUAUGUAGCCAAGCAAUUGAUUGAAAGAUGGUAAAGGAAAUACCAGGAGGCAGAUGACGCUAGGAACUGCAGGCUUGAUUUUAGCACAUCCAUAAUUAAAAGUUGAAUGGGAACUGGGAAAUUAAAAUAAUUCCAGCAAUGAAUAUGCAAGAGCCCAGUUGGUUGUACAAAGUGACUCACGAGGGUGUGAGCAAUAUCUCAAAAGCAGGCAGUUCCAUAUUACUUGGGAAGACACUGAACCCAUUGCAACUGAUAAAAGAAUGAAUGUACAGUGGGAAGAUAAAACUCUGGAACCGUCAAAGUAAUAACUCACAAAGGCAAGACCAGGAGAACAUGAGCUAAACGGGAGGAAGGGAAUUAAUGACACAGGGAUAUGGGAUUUGUUUUUCACUCCAUGGCUGCUGUUGGAUACAUAACUGCUAACAUGCCUGCUGUGCAUGUACCACUGCGCUAGAAUUCAAUGUGUGACAGCCUCCAGGACUGGGGGCUAAACCUAGGGACCCAGAGCUGUAUAACGCACCAGUCACAGUAUUGGCGGGUUUAGCUGUGUUAGCGCCUAAUAACCAGCUACCUCUGUUUCCAGAUUAGGAAUGGCCAGAGACAAAAUAGUGUCUUUCAGUAUCAUUUCUGAGUUUAAUUAUCUUCAGUUUCAUGUAAGAAAUCACAAACCUAGAAUCUGUAACUGACAUGGACAUAAAAUGCCAGGUUCUUUGGCUGGCCGUGAAUAAUUCAUUAAAUAAGCCAAAUUCUAGGAACCCCAAAGAACAUUUUUAAUUUCAGGGCAUCUGAAUGCUGGUGCAGUUAAGAGAAAGCUGUAGGGAGACACUGCGAAAAGGUUUACGCCAAAGUUUCUGCCAUCUUUCCAUACAAGAAGAAACUAAGCCAGAAGGAGACAUCAAAUCUAGAAUUCACAAAAUAAUCCCAUUUAUAUUGAUAAAUCCUGGUCGUCACAUGGAGCUCUCAAGAGAGAUAUUCAUGGUGAAAGGUUCUAAUGUCUUUAGUGUUGUUGAUGUAUAACCACUUAAGACUAAACUGUCACGGCACCCACAGAACUAAGUGGAUCGUAUAGAGCAAAGUAAACCUUUUCUGGGUAGGUAAUCUUCUUCUGAGGUUCCUUGGGCCCCAACCGACUCCCUGUUGGAAAAAUAAGUUCUCCUACAGAAUCUUUAUUCAUACGUUGUCCAGUCUUUUCUUUGAAAUCUCAAUGUCCAUUGAUUUGCUUAAGCUUUAGUAUUUUCUCCCA